AGGUACCAGCGGACUUCAAGAGCUUUAAGGUCAGGUGUAUACUCUUCAUUAGAUUUGAUGACGAGUAAGCUGGGGUCGGUCCUAAUUUUUUGACGGGAUAUGGUAGGGGGAGGUUCCAUAUCAGAGGCUGUAGGACUGCCUGGAUCAUAAGGAUUUUCAGGUUCUAGGGACUCAUGGACCCUAGUGGAUUGCUGAUAAUAAACUUUUGGGACAGGGCCAGAGAAGUCGACUCCUCUUACUUUGCCCUUGUCAUUGUUAUUAUCA
rnacentral:lncRNA from 1 species